rnacentral:rRNA from 1 species
AUUGAACGCUGGCGGCAUGCCUUACACAUGCAAGUCGAACGGCAGCACGGGUGCUUGCACCUGGUGGCGAGUGGCGAACGGGUGAGUAAUACAUCGGAACGUACCUUAUCGUGGGGGAUAACGCAGCGAAAGCUGUGCUAAUACCGCAUACGCCCUGAGGGGGAAAGCGGGGGAUCGCAAGACCUCGCGCGAUUAGAGCGGCCGAUGCCUGAUUAGCUUGUUGGUGGGGUAAAAGCCCACCAAGGCGACGAUCAGUAGCUGGUCUGAGAGGACGAUCAGCCACACUGGGACGGGGACACGGCCCCAACUCCUACGGGAGACAGCAGUGGGGAGUUUUGGACAAUGGGGGCAACCCUGAUCCGGCAAUGCCGCGUGAGUGAAGAGGGCCUUCGGGUUGUAAAGCUCUUUUGUCAGGGAAGAAACACCGGCUCUAACACAGUCUGGGAAUGACGGUACCUGAAGAAUAAGCACCGGCUAACUACGUGCCAGCCGCCGCCGUAA